rnacentral:rRNA from 1 species
UCGAGAAUCAUCCGCAAUGCACGAAAGUGUGACGGUGCGAUGCCGCGUGGUGGAUGACGCCCUUAGGGGUGUAAACACCUUUUAUACGUGAGGAAGUUUAUUGACGUUAGCGUAUGAAUAAGGAGUUGCUAAUCGCGUGCCAGCAGCAGCGGUAAUACGCGAACUCCAAGCGUUAUCCGGAAUCAUUGGGCGUAAAGGGUAUGUAGGCGGCUGUAUUAGUCCUCUGUCAAAGCCCACGGCUUAACCGUGGUCGAGCAGGGGAAACGGUACAGCUUGAGGAUGCGAGAGGUUAAGGGAACUCACGGUGUAGGGGUGAAAUCCGUUGAUAUCGUGAGGAACACCAAAGGCGAAGGCACUUAACUGGCGCACUCCUGACGCUGAGAUACUAAAGCCAGGGUCGCGAACGGGAUUAGAUACCCCCGUAGUCC